UACAGAGGGUGCAAGCGUUGUCCGGAAUUAUUGGGCGUAAAGAGCGCGUAGGCGGUCCGAUAAGUCGGCUGUGAAAGUCAGGGGCUCAACCCUUGGAAGCCGGCCGAUACUGUCGGACUAGAGUCCGGAAGAGGCGAGUGGAAUUCCCGGUGUAGCGGUGAAAUGCGCAGAUAUCGGGAGGAACACCAAUGGCGAAGGCAGCUCGCUGGGACGGUACUGACGCUGAGGCGCGAAAGCGUGGGGAGCAAACAGG
rnacentral:rRNA from 1 species